rnacentral:rRNA from 1 species
CCGUUUUAAAAGGUAUUAAUAAAUAAUUUUCAUAUCUCAUGUAUAUCAGAAGUGAAACUCUGUAAUUUCGAUGGUAGUGUGGGGUUUCCCUAUGUGAGAGUAGGGCACCGCCAGGU